UACAGAGACCUCAAGCGUUAUCCGGAAUUAUUGGGCGUAAAGAGCUCGUAGGUGGUUUGUUACGUCUGCUGUGAAAACCUAGGGCUUAACCCUGGGCUUGCAGUGGAUACGGGCAGACUAGAGGUAGGUAGGGGAGAAUGGAAUUCCUGGUGUAGCGGUGAAAUGCGCAGAUAUCAGGAGGAACACCGGUGGCGAAGGCGGUUCUCUGGGCCUUACCUGACACUGAGGAGCGAAAGCGUGGGGAGCGAACAGG
rnacentral:rRNA from 1 species